AUACGGAGGGGGCUAGCGUUGUUCGGAAUUACUGGGCGUAAAGCGCGCGUAGGCGGAUCGUUUAGUCGGGGGUGAAAUCCUGAGGCUCAACCUCAGAACUGCCUCCGAAACUGGCGAUCUCGAGUCCGGAAGAGGUGAGUGGAAUUCCCAGUGUAGAGGUGAAAUUCGUAGAUAUUGGGAAGAACACCAGUGGCGAAGGCGGCUCACUGGUCCGGUACUGACGCUGAGGUGCGAAAGCGUGGGGAGCAAACAGGAUUAGAAACCCCAGUAGUCC
rnacentral:rRNA from 1 species